AAUAUCAAAGGUGAGCCAGUACAGGAUGGACCCGCGUCUGAUUAGCUAGUUGGUAAGGUAACGGCUUACCAAGGCGACGAUCAGUAGCCGACCUGAGAGGGUGAUCGGCCACAUUGGAACUGAGACACGGUCCAAACUCCUACGGGAGGCAGCAGCGGGGAAUAUUGCACAAUGGGCGAAAGCCUGAUGCAGCAACGCCGCGUGAGUGAUGAAGGCCUUCGGGUCGUAAAACUCUGUCCUCAAGGAAGAUAAUGACGGUACUUGAGGAGGAAGCCCCGGCUAACUACGUGCCAGCAGCCGCGGUAAUACGUAGGGGGCUAGCGUUAUCCGGAUUUACU
rnacentral:rRNA from 1 species